UACGAAGGGUGCAAGCGUUACUCGGAAUUACUGGGCGUAAAGCGUGCGUAGGUGGUUUGUUAAGUCUGAUGUGAAAGCCCUGGGCUCAACCUGGGAAUUGCAUUGGAUACUGGCAGGCUAGAGUGCGGUAGAGGAUGGCGGAAUUCCCGGUGUAGCAGUGAAAUGCGUAGAGAUCGGGAGGAACAUCUGUGGCGAAGGCGGCCAUCUGGACCAGAACUGACACUGAGGCGCGAAAGCGUGGGGAGCAAACAGG
rnacentral:rRNA from 1 species